UUACAUCUGUUGUAAUUUAUUUCCUCCAAAUUUUUCACUGUAGCCACCAAAAAUUAAAGUAAUAUAUCAUAAAAUUUUUAAAAAUAUAAUGAAAAUUUCCCAUGUUUCGCUGAGACCAAUGUUGAAAAUUUCCCAUUGUCAAAUUACCCUCCGACCAAUGUACGCUCCGACCAGCACCACCAGCACUCCAAUCACACUCCAUAAGCAUUCCAACCACACACCACCAGCACGCUCCGACCACACACCAUCAGUACGCUCCGACCACAUAUCACCACCAAUCGAUCAAGUGCUCCGACCAUAAAAUCGAGCACCAAUGCAUGCUCCGACCACCAGUACUCCGACCAGAAAUCAGCUUCUCCACUGCUCCGACAACCACUUCCAUUUCAGCUCUCAAAUUUGCACUUCAAUUUCUGAGCAAAUUUGGGGUUUUCUUCUUCAAUUUGGUGAUUUUAAGAUUCCUAUAGAAUUGUUUGGUACAAAUUGUAGUCGCUCAUCAAGCCUGACAUGUCCGCUGCAGGGGAAUCCAACUGGAAAAGGUCCGACAUUUUUCAGUUUUUUGUGCCCCUAAUUAUUCUGGUGUAUUAUUAUAAGUAUAUGGAGAUUGUGUUGUGAGGAGCAUAAAGUCUGUUAAUGAUAUACUACAUUUUCCUUAUCUUGUGAUCGCGGAUGAGAACUUCUAAGAUGAGGAAAUGUUACAACUUUAUAAUUGGGUCUUCACUUGUUUCGGGAAGUGUCUUAAUGAAGGCAUACAGAGCAGCUCAUAUCCAAUUUGCCGGGUUUCUUUCACAAUUUUAAGGUUUCUUGCUUGAGAGGUGCAACUGGGGGUACGCAGAAAAGUUGUUGUUGGUUGGUUGCACAAAUUAUACUGUGAUGUUCUUAGCUAUAAUAGAACAAUUAGUGCAUCUUUUUGGUGUUCGUGUCUGGGAAAGAUUAGAGCGUCUACACUUGCUAUAUUGUUGUUGCAGUAUAUGUGUGGUAUUAAGUGCUUUGCAAACAAAAGCAGAUUACCCUAGUCUAGAAAGUGCUUUGGUUGAUUGUUUAGAAAGGGUUUUCAAAACAAGAUAUGGAGCAUCACUCAUUCCUCACUACAUGGUGUUCAAAGUGAAGAAGAGAUAAGAAAGAAGUGAUGAAGAAAUUGACUUUACCAGAGAAGAUUUUUGAAUUGUUGAUAUAUAGAUGUUUUAAUAUCCAUCUUUUUGAUAUUGAUAUCUCGUAACUUGAGCCGGGGGUCUUUCGGAAACAGCCUUUCUACUUCAUCAGAGGUAGAGGUAUGGACUGCGUACAUCUUACCCCCCCCCAGACCCCACAAAGUGGGAAUACACUGGGUUUGUUGUUGUUGUUGUUGUUGUUUGAUAUUGAAUUUAGUGAAACUUAUCGCCACUCGAACUUGAUACUAAUAGGAAAACUAAUGAUCAUUUGACUUUAUACAUUUUGCUUUUGGGUUUA